CCUACGGGAGGCAGCAGUGGGGAAUAUUGCGCAAUGGGCGAAAGCCUGACGCAGCGACGCCGCGUGAGGGAUGAAGGUCUUCGGAUCGUAAACCUCUGUCAGCAGGGAAGUACGGUCACUGUGCUAAUCAGCAGUGAAUUGACGGUACCUGCAAAGGAAGCACCGGUUAACUCCGUGCCAGCAGCCGCGGUAAUACGGAGGGUGCUAGCGUUAAUCGGAAUUACUGGGCGUAAAGCGCUCGUAGGCGGUAGGUCAAGUCAAGGGUGAAAUCCCCGCGCUCAACGGGGGAACUGCCUUUGAAACUGGCAGACUGGAGUGUGUGAGAGGAUAGUGGAAUUCCAGGUGUAGGAGUGAAAUCCGUAGAUAUCUGGAGGAACAUCAGUGGCGAAGGUGACUAUCUGGCACAUAACUGACGCUGAGGAGCGAAAGCGUGGGUAGCAAACAGGAUUAGAUACCCCAGUAGUC
rnacentral:rRNA from 1 species